rnacentral:rRNA from 1 species
GUAGGUGAACCUGCGGAGGG